UACGGAGGGUGCGAGCGUUAAUCGGAAUAACUGGGCGUAAAGGGCACGCAGGCGGGGUUUUAAGUCAGAUGUGAAAUCCCCGGGCUUAACCUGGGAAUAGCAUUUCAGACUGGGGGUCUAGAGUACUUUAGGGAGGGGUGGAAUUCCAGGUGUAGCGGUGAAAUGCGUAGAUAUGGGGAGGAAUACCGAAGGCGAAGGCGGCCCCUUGGGAAUGUACUGACGCUGAUGUGCGAAAGCGUGGGGAGCAAACAGG
rnacentral:rRNA from 1 species